ACAGGAAGAAGCUUGCUUCUUUGCUGCGAGUGGCGGACGGGUGAUUAAUGUCUGGGAAACUGCCUGAUGGAGGGGGAUAACUACUGGAAACGGUAGCUAAUACCGCAUAACGUCGCAUGACCAAAGAGGGGGACCUUCGGGCCUCUUGCCAUCGGAUGUGCCCAGAUGGGAUUAGCUAGUAGGUGGGGUAACGGCUCACCUAGGCGACGAUCCCUAGCUGGUCUGAGAGGAUGACCAGCCACACUGGAACUGAGACACGGUCCAGACUCCUACGGGAGGCAGCAGUGGGGAAUAUUGCACAAUGGGCGCAAGCCUGAUGCAGCCAUGCCGCGUGUAUGAAGAAGGCCUUCCGGGUUGUAAGUACUUUCAGCGGGAGGAAGGGAGUAAGUAAUACCUUUGCUAUUGACGUACCCGAGAAGAAGCACCGCUAACUCGUGCAGCAG
rnacentral:rRNA from 1 species